rnacentral:rRNA from 1 species
GACGAACGCUGGCGGCGUGCCUAAUACAUGCAAGUCGAACGCAGUGGGGACGGGUGAGUCACACGUGGGUAACCUCCCAUCAGAGGGGAUAACACUUGGAAACAGGUGCUAAACCGAUACUGAUGGAUGGACCCGCUGGGCAUUAGCUAGUUGGUGAGGUAAAGGCUCACCAAGGCCACGAUGCAUAGCCGAUCGGAGAGGGUGAUCGGCCACACUGGUACUGAGACUCGGCCCAGACUCCUGCGGGAGGCAGCAGUAGGGAAUCGUCGGGAAUGGACGAAAGUCUGACAGAGCAACGCCGCGUGAGUGAAGAAGGUUUUCGGAGCGUAAAACUCUGUUGUUAGAGAAGCGGUAUCUAACCAGAAAGCCACGGCUAACGACGUGCCAGCAGCCGCGGUAAUUC